UACGUAGGGUGCAAGCGUUGUCCGGAAUUAUUGGGCGUAAAGAGCUCGUAGGCGGUUUGUCGCGUCUGCUGUGAAAACUCGGGGCUUAACUCCGGGCCUGCAGUGGGUACGGGCAGACUAGAGUGCGGUAGGGGAGACUGGAAUUCCUGGUGUAGCGGUGAAAUGCGCAGAUAUCAGGAGGAACACCGGUGGCGAAGGCGGGUCUCUGGGCCGUAACUGACGCUGAGGAGCGGAAGCGUGGGGAGCGAACAGG
rnacentral:rRNA from 1 species